UUGUAAAGAGUUCUUAAAAAUUUACAUUAACCUUUGGAACACCGAAAUUGGCUAAGGUAAGUCACUGAAUAGAAAGUAUUACUCUAUUCAUUUACUCCUAGCCUACAGGU
ensembl:snoRNA